CGGUGAGUAACACGUAUCCAACCUGCCGUCUACUCUUGGCCAGCCUUCUGAAAGGAAGAUUAAUCCAGGAUGGCAUCAUGAGUUCACAUGUCCGCAUGAUUAAAGGUAUUUUCCGGUAGACGAUGGGGAUGCGUUCCAUUAGAUAGUAGGCGGGGUAACGGCCCACCAAAGCGACGAUCAGUAGCCGGCCUGAGAGGGUGAACGGCCACAUUGGGACUGAGACACGGCCCAA
rnacentral:rRNA from 1 species